AUAUACACGUUGAAAAAGAGGAGUAAUUUAUAAGUAAAUUAAAGAGAGAUGAUGUUUGGUGGAAAUCAUUAUUAUUUGUAAAUGAAUGGAGCUUUUGAGUGUAGGUUAAUUAGAGAAGAAAGAUGGGCUAGAGCCAAGAAGGGUGGAACCGCGGAAUUGUAUUUCGUCCCUUUG
rnacentral:ncRNA from 1 species